AUGUUAAUGAAGUCGGUAAUUAAUUCGUCGCUUUGUUGUCGGUUCUUAUACUGUAUGUGUAAUCAAAUGUGGCCGUCCUUGGGAUUUACAGCAAUUAACGAAUUACGGGCGCGCGCUCCAGGCAGCCGGCGCUCGGCGGCCCGGCUGGGCGCGCGGCGGGGCCGCCAGCCUCGCAGGUGGCUCUGGAGCUUUGGGCCCAGGCGUCCCCACGAGCCCCGAGCGGCUCCGGGUGUGCCCAGCUCCUCCCGGGCCCUCCGAGACCGCCCCAGGCCGAAGAGACCCGUUGGCUGUCGCGUUCCCAGGAGUGGCGACUCUCUGGGGGCCCGGGCUGGGGGGAGGAGGAAUUCUGCCCAGACUCUGCAGCAGUUCGUAGCAAGCAAGCUUUCUCCUGAGUGUCUCCUGGAAAAGUUGCAAAAUUGCUCUUCACCUGUAAGAACAUGCUUUUUAUCUUCCAGUCUCUUCUUGUCAAUUCGGAAAUUGCAGACAGCCGGGCUCAGGGUGAUGGAUGAAGAGGCAUUCUCCACUGGUGGAAGGCAAACGAUGUACUCUCCCGGCACCUUCAUGUCGAGGUAAGAUCGUGGAGUGACUGUUCCUGGUUAGAGUGGAAAAUGCCAAAUAAUGAGCUCUAUAAGAGGAGAUCUGAAAAAUAGCUAAAAUGACUUGCAAAUCUUAGGGCACCACAAACUGAAUAUGAGCAUAGAACUAUUAUCAUUAAAUAGAAAGCUAUUACACCUGGAUGUACGAUGGCGUUAUUGCUAUUGGCCACACAAAAGUUUUACUUUUCAUAAAGCUUUUAUAGUUCACUCUGUGCACUGGCCAAUUUCACGUUCAGUCUAAUCCAAGAUUCAUUUGAGAGCAUGCUAACCUGCCCACCUGCUCCCCUAAGCUACAGAAAUUUCUCUCUUUUACGAACAUGUCUCGCACUUAUUUUCUAUACCACUCACUUGGAGUUUAUCGUACAUGGGCUUUUAAUGAUCGUUUCAUUGUAUAUGCACACAUGUGUGUAGUCUCACCAGUGAGGUGUAUAGGUUUAAUCUCAGGAAACUGUCUUUAUGGGUACCCACCAUGUGCUUUUUCCUAGAGCUACAAUGCUUACUUUGGGGCCUGACAUAUUUGUUACUUCUUUAUUAAUUGUUGAAUAAUUAUUUUAAUUUUGGCUUAGGCUGUUUGCUUCAUAGCCAGCAAGUGUUGCAGUGGUUCAAUUUAUGGAAACUUGUGAGUUGCAAUUCAUGCACGUCUUCAUUUCUUGAUGAAAUGCAAAGAUCCUCUCUUUAAGUGAGAAAUUUGAUAAAGACUGGAUUUUAAGGAAGCAUCUCCUCCCCCAAAAGGUAGGCUUCCUUUUGAGGAGAUCCCCUUAGAUAGCUGCCUAGGAUGCUAAGGCAAACCUUUGUAUAUACAAAUUUGGGUCAAUGUGUUGACAGGAUGUCAGAUUUGUGUAACUAAUGGAGCUUCAACAUGAAUAUUGAGCUUUAUGCCACUCCAUUGAUGCCCAAAUGACCCCGUAGGUGCCUAUUUGUGCCUGAGGCUACUGGGGUAGAAAAUAGAAGCCCUUCUUGGGAAAACCUGACAAGGUCCACAACCUACCCUUGACCAGUAGUAACUGGUUUUCAGUAACAGCUGAAAAGUAAAUUCAAAGAUACCUGAAUGGAAAAGCAUUGAUGCCUUUCCAUCAAAUAGUCUAUAAUUUCAUGUUGCUGUUAUUCUGCCUCAUAGACUUAUCUGUGAGUGUUUCUGGAAUCUUAACCAUGGAUCAACCAAGAGUUGAGUAAUAAAGAACUAAUCUGGUCAGCUGAUUUGGAGGGA
rnacentral:lncRNA from 1 species